GGUCCAGACUCCUACGGGAGGCAUCAGUGGGGGAUAUUGCACAAUGGGGGAAACCCUGAUGCAGCGACGCCGCGUGGGUGAAGAAGCGCCUCGGCGCGUAAAGCCCUGUCAGCAGGGAAGAAAAUGACGGUACCUGAAGAAGAAGCCCCGGCUAACUACGUGCCAGCAGCCGCGGUAAUACGUAGGGGGCAAGCGUUAUCCGGAUUUACUGGGUGUAAAGGGGGCGCAGACGGCGAUGCAAGCCAGGAGUGAAAGCCCGGGGCCCAACCCCGGGACUGCUCUUGGAACUGCGUGGCUAGAGUGCAGGAGGGGCAGGCGGAAUUCCUAGUGUAGCGGUGAAAUGCGUAGAUAUUAGGAGGAACACCAGUGGCGAAGGCGGCCUACUGGACGGUGACUGACGCUGAGGCUCGAAAGCGUGGGGAGCAAACAGGAUUAGAUACCCGAGUAAA
rnacentral:rRNA from 1 species